UACGUAGGGGGGCAAGCGUUGUCCGGAAUUAUUGGGCGUAAAGAGCUCGUAGGCGGUCUGUCGCGUCUGCUGUGAAAACUCAGGGCUUAACCCUGAGCUUGCAGUGGGUACGGGCAGACUAGAGUGCGGUAGGGGAGACUGGAAUUCCUGGUGUAGCGGUGAAAUGCGCAGAUAUCAGGAGGAACACCGGUGGCGGAAGGCGGGUCUCUGGGCCGUAACUGACGCUGAGGAGCGGAAAGCAUGGGGAGCGAACAGG
rnacentral:rRNA from 1 species